UCAGAAAGCCCGCCAUUUGGUUAUAUGACCGUUUCUGUUGGUUCAAGAAAUACAAUUAUAUAAAGGAAAUUUUAGAGAAAAGAUUUGCCCCCCAAUUUUCAGAAAGACCGUAAAUCUGUAGAUUCUCGUUCCCGUAGACCAUUCUUUUGCCGUUAAAUCUCGCCGACGAAUUAACCAUGGUGCCCAACAAGCUAAACGCGAAAAGGCGCAGACUUGAAGAUCCAGCUGAAAGUGCAAGCUCAAGCACCAACCCUCAUAACAAAAUUGAAGUACAAAGUCCAACAACAACAGAUCGAAUGUGUGGGGUAAAUCAUCAGAGAAAUUUAGCUCAACCAAGGCCGAAAGAGAAAUAAUGAUACAAGGAAUAUCCUGUCUUACAGUGGACUGCUGACUUCAAAUAUUAUUUUUAAUAGAUCUCCUUUUUUGCUUUUCUUUGGCCCAUUGACAGUAGUCACUAUUAUAGCAGUUUCUAGUUGUUGUAAGAGUUAUAUUGUCAUUGACAGUUUAAAUUUCUCCCAUGGUUUGUCCUUGUAUAAAAGGUGGUGACGUUCUUCGAUCAC